rnacentral:rRNA from 1 species
GAUGAACGCUGGCGGCGUGCCUAAUACAUGCAAGUCGAGCGAACAGACGAGGAGCUUGCUCCUCUGACGUUAGCGGCGGACGGGUGAGUAACACGUGGAUAACCUACCUAUAAGACUGGGAUAACUUCGGGAAACCGGAGCUAAUACCGGAUAAUAUAUUGAACCGCAUGGUUUAAUAGUGAAAGACGGUUUUGCUGUCACUUAUAGAUGGAUCCGCGCCGCAUUAGCUAGUUGGUAAGGUAACGGCUUACCAAGGCAACGAUGCGUAGCCGACCUGAGAGGGUGAUCGGCCACACUGGAACUGAGACACGGUCUAGACUCCUACGGGAGGCAGCAGUAGGGAAUCUUCCGCAAUGGGCGAAAGCUUGACGGAGCAACGCCGCGUGAGUGAUGAAGGUCUUCGGAUCGUAAAACUCUGUUAUUAGGGAAGAACAAAUGUGUAAGUAACUAUGCACGUCUUGACGGUACCUAAUCAGAAAGCCACGGCUAACUACGUG